rnacentral:rRNA from 1 species
AUACGAAGGGUGCAAGCGUUACUCGGAAUUACUGGGCGUAAAGCGUGCGUAGGUGGUUGUUUAAGUCUGUCGUGAAAGCCCUGGGCUCAACCUGGGAAUGGCGAUGGAAACUGGGCGACUAGAGUGUGGCAGAGGGUAGUGGAAUUCCUGGUGUAGCAGUGAAAUGCGUAGAGAUCAGGAGGAACAUCCGUGGCGAAGGCGACUGCCUGGGCCAACACUGACACUGAGGCACGAAAGCGUGGUGAGCAAACAGGAUGAGAUACCCUGGUAGUCCACGCCCUAAACGAUGCGAACUGGAUGUUGGGUGCAAUUUGGCACGCAGUAUCGAAGCUAACGCGUUAAGUUCGCCGCCUGGGGAGUACGGUCGCAAGACUGAAACUCAAAUGAAUUGACGGGG